AUCCAGUUGAUGAGUCCCAAAUAGAACGAAACAGGUGUCAAACUGGAU
rnacentral:hammerhead_ribozyme from 1 species